GACGAACGCUGGCGGCGCGCCUAACACAUGCAAGUCGAACGAGAGAGAAGGAGCUUGCUUCUUCGAUCGAGUGGCGAACGGGUGAGUAACGCGUGAGGAACCUGCCUCAAAGAGGGGGACAACAGUUGGAAACGACUGCUAAUACCGCAUAAGCCCACGGGUCGGCAUCGACCAGAGGGAAAAGGAGUGAUCCGCUUUGAGAUGGCCUCGCGUCCGAUUAGCUAGUUGGUGAGGUAACGGCCCACCAAGGCGACGAUCGGUAGCCGGACUGAGAGGUUGAACGGCCACAUUGGGACUGAGACACGGCCCAGACUCCUACGGGAGGCAGCAGUGGGGAAUAUUGCACAAUGGGGGAAACCCUGAUGCAGCGACGCCGCGUGGAGGAAGAAGGUCUUCGGAUUGUAAACUCCUGUUGUUGAGGAAGAUAAUGACGGUACUCAACAAGGAAGUGACGGCUAACUACGUGCCAGCAGCCGCGGUAAAACGUAGGUCACAAGCGUUGUCCGGAAUUACUGGGUGUAAAGGGAGCGCAGGCGGGAAGACAAGUUGGAAGUGAAAUCCAUGGGCUCAACCCAUGAACUGCUUUCAAAACUGUUUUUCUUGAGUAGUGCAGAGGUAGGCGGAAU
rnacentral:rRNA from 1 species